AGCAGCUCUGCCUUUGGUCUGUUGUUCGGGGAAGGUCUGUGGGCCAGGGUCUUGAGGGCUCUUCCAGCUUUGGGGCUCUGUGUCUCGGACGCUUCCCUAGAAUGGCAGGCCUGUCCCCACAGCCCACCCAGGGAGAAGGGGGGUCACAUCUCUUGACAGGCAGGGCUGAGACCGGCUGGGGGUGGGGAAUGCCACCAGCCCCCUGCCCUGGCCUCAGGCCUGACCCCCAGCAGGCCGGCAGCACAGAAACCCACCUCCCAGACACCUCAGGGAGGCGACAGAGAGACGAGGGGCGUGGCUGGGAGAUCUCAGAUAGAAGUCACUUCCGGCCAGGCCUGGCUAAGUCCUUCGGCCUAUGCUGUAUCACUGGAUCCGCACAGCCACUCCGUGUAAAAAUGCAGAUAAUCAUUCCUGCCCAGAGCGAUCAGGGAAAUCGCUCUGAAGUUUCAAAUACUGCCACAAAGGAGACCACGGCCGCAUUUCCAGUGACUCACAUGUCUGGGCAACUCUGCCUCGGAAAACCCUCUCUUCUCAAGCCCCGUCUGGCCCUGCUGACUGUGGCCUCAGUGCUCCAUCCACAAGGGCUAGGACCCCCAGCCAUGCCCAUGGAGUUCAAACGGAACCAGGCUGCUAAGACAGAUGAACUCCAAAUAACAAUCAGGCCCAACUGAUUCACGGAAUCCUCAAGAACUGGAGUAAACCCAUUUUCGAGACGGACACACUGAAGCCCAGCGGCAUUUUGUACCAGACACACGCAAGGAGUUACAGAAGCCCCGCAUCCGGGGUCAAGGGUUGGGUGUGGAGACCGAUGACCCUCAGCUCGGCCAGCCCCAUGGCUACCUGGCUGCCCGGCCACGCCCCUGGCCAGGCAGGUGAAGGUGGUGGUGUAGCGUGCACGCAGCACGGCUCUGCUGUUACCUUUCUAGGUCUGGUAGCUGAGUGAUGGAACUGCGGCUCUCUUCCUCACACCCCUCACAGCACUGGCCUGAUACCCACCACCUCCUCCUCCUCAUCCUGGGUACGCAGGGACAGAGAUGGGACACAUGUGAACAGCCGGGGACACAGACGGCAGUCCACUCCCCGCCCCCACCUGGGUCCCCCCAAGGCCAGGCUAAUCUCAGCGGCCUCUUGGGCCCCCGACGCACGUCCCGGGAUGCCUGAUUGAUCUGGGGCCUUGUCUCCCCCACACUGCGGCACUGCCAUACACCAGCCGACCCCUCCUAGUGGAAAUCUUUGACUAAAAAACAUAUUUAAGUUUUC